GCCAGCUUGCUGGGUGGAUUAGUGGCGAACGGGUGAGUAACACGUGAGCAACGUGCCCAUAACUCUGGGAUAACCUCCGGAAACGGUGGCUAAUACUGGAUAUCUAACGCGAUCGCAUGGUCUGUGUUUGGAAAGAUUUUUUGGUUAUGGAUCGGCUCACGGCCUAUCAGCUUGUUGGUGAGGUAAUGGCUCACCAAGGCGACGACGGGUAGCCGGCCUGAGAGGGUGACCGGCCACACUGGGACUGAGACACGGCCCAGACUCCUACGGGAGGCAGCAGUGGGGAAUAUUGCACAAUGGGCGAAAGCCUGAUGCAGCAACGCCGCGUGAGGGAUGACGGCCUUCGGGUUGUAAACCUCUUUUAGUAGGGAAGAAGCGAAAGUGACGGUACCUGCAGAAAAAGCACCGGCUAACUACGUGCCAGCAGCCGCGGUAAUACGUAGGGUGCAAGCGUUGUCCGGAAUUAUUGGGCGUAAAGAGCUCGUAGGCGGUUUGUCGCGUCUGCUGUGAAAUCCCGAGGCUCAACCUCGGGUCUGCAGUGGGUACGGGCAGACUAGAGUGUGGUAGGGGAGAUUGGAAUUCCUGGUGUAGCGGUGGAAUGCGCAGAUAUCAGGAGGAACACCGAUGGCGAAGGCAGAUCUCUGGGCCAUUACUGACGCUGAGGAGCGAAAGCAUGGGGAGCGAACAGGAUUAGAUACCCUGGUAGUCCAUGCCGUAAACGUUGGGCGCUAGAUGUGGGGACCAUUCCACG
rnacentral:rRNA from 1 species